GUGAAACUGUUAAAUGGGUGGCUGAUAAGUGGAAAACACUGAAGUGUCACAGAGGUAGGAAUGGAUGAGGCAGUCAGCAUCCCAGGCAGAGGAGAUCAACGAAGAGAUUGGCACAACAGCUCCUUGAACCCAAAUAGGGUUUCCCGCAGAGGAAGACCCCAGAUAUGGGGUGCUGCUGCCAAGCUGAUGCUGAUCUCUGAGACAGAGGAGGAUCUGUUGCGGGGCGGGGCUUGGACCCAAAUGUUGAGGAGUCUGUAAGUCAUGACAGGCAGGUCCUACAGUGCUGAGAUAGCUCAAAAUCAGUUCAUAUAUAGCAAGGUACUUUCAUUUCUGAGCAAGGCCUGCCAGGGCCAGCAGCCUCUUGUUGGCACAUUUCCUUGACAGAGCCCAAUGUGGAGGCAGCUAGACAACCAGAAGUCAGACUAAGAGAGGAGAAGAAAACUAGAAACAAAGGCAAUCUACCCCACAAUCAGGGCCUGGUUUAAAGAAGAUAGGAAGCCCAUAGUCACUGGCAGCCUUGUGAUGAGUCCUAUUAUUGACAACGUCUCCAGGACCUAAUGAGCUCCAUUCUAUAACCUGUAGUACCCAGAUCUGCUUUCAGGAAUGGGUUCUGAGGGCCCACUGAAGGCUGAGGCAUCCAGGACUGUCUUGGCCCUUGGAGGUAUACACAAUGGACAUUGCAUCUAUAGCCAGGGGCAACGAAGUGGGAAAGUCACCACCCCACACUUUCAAGGCUCAGGCUCAUGAGAAUUCUUCUUCUGUGUCAGAGAUUCUUCUUCUGUGUCAGAUAGUGCACAUUGAGAUUACACACGGAAUUGGACUCAUCUCCCAGGGAGCUCAAAGCAGGAAGGUGAUGGAAAGUACAAGCCAAGGAGUGUCCAGCCCUCUCUCUCUGUCCUACAGACUAUAGAACAAGUGUGUCAGGAGAUGCAUGAAGCUGUUUCUGACUGGCUCAAGCCCUGUGCAUACAAUCGGCA
rnacentral:lncRNA from 1 species